AGCAUGAAGUCAGCUUGCUGACUUGAUGGCGACCGGCGCACGGGUGCGUAACACGUAUCCAAUCUACCCAUCUGGCUCGGGGGAUAGCCUUUCGAAAGAAAGAUUAAUACCCGAUGGUUUCGUUUUUUCGCAUGAGAAGAUGAAUAAAGAUUUAUCGGCGAUGGAUGAGGAUGCGUCCGAUUAGCUUGUUGGCGGGGUAACGGCCCACCAAGGCGACGAUCGGUAGGGGCUCUGAGAGGAGGAUCCCCCACAUUGGAACUGAGACACGGUCCAAACUCCUACGGGAGGCAGCAGUGAGGAAUAUUGGUCAAUGGGCGCGAGCCUGAACCAGCCAAGUAGCCGUGAGGGACGACUGCCCUAUGGGUUGUAAACCUCUUUUGUUUGGGAAUAAAGUGAGCCACGUAUGGCUUUUUGUAUGUACCUUACGAAUAAGCAUCGGCUAAUUCCGUGCCAGCCGCCGC
rnacentral:rRNA from 1 species